GCAGUGAUCACCUAUGGUAUGUGGGAUCAAGUGCGAGUAGACCAUGGAAAGGAGUUUUACCUGACACUGUUCAUGCAGGAGAUGCUGUCACACCAUCGGUUCAAUCAGGAGAGACUGCCUUAUCUACAGACUUCAUCUACACGAAACCACACAGUUGAGUGACUUUGGCCUGAGAUCAACAACCGUGUUAACUAUCCCUUGAAAACAGCCCUUCUGCAACUGAUGGACCAAGAGGAGAUCAAUAUGGAGGACAACCUUGUAAGAUACUGUGUGUCCAAUCUAACUUGUAGGCUGUGCCACACUGGUCUUACAAGCGUGGCAGAAUCAUGGAAUGCUCAUAUGAUUCCAGGAAAAGGCAUACCAAAUCACUUUGCAGAACCUGGGUGUAAACGAAGAAUUACAUCAGAACUCUUGCCACAUUCAUUUGGAGCUGCAGACCUUUACAGACAGCAUGUAGGAUCUGCACUGACAACACACUCAACGUUUGGAGUUGAUCCCUUUACAACAGUACAGGACAAACUCAGAACGGAGAAUCAUUUUUCAGAGAAAUAUCCUGACGUUUCACAUUUGUUUCAUAGAGCAGUAAACAACGACUUUGCUCCAUACAAACAAGCCUUGCUUUAUCUGACAAACACAACUCAGAGAAAUGCAUGAACUGGUGCAUUUGCAAGCUACAGAACAUACUGAACUGAAACAACUACAAUACAUAACUGUAAGGGUUUACCUUUCUGUGAGUAAUUAAAACAUUACUCUUCCAUAAAAAAGGAUUUCAAAACUGAAAAAGCAGCAGUUAGACCUGCAACUUCUAUUGCACUGUUGUUGACUUCUCUACAUUUUUGCACAGUGUGGAGAAGCCUCCUUCCACUGCUCCACACAUGUCUUGCAGCCAAUAAUGGUUCUGCAGCACAGCGACAGCAUUGGCUCUUCAAUGAUAUCUGCAAAAGUAACGUGACAGAAGACUGUUUUGUUCAGAGGAUAUGUUUUCUUUUCUCCAAGUCUACUUAUAUGCUGAUACAUGUUUGGUCAUGCAGUUAUUCCACAUAUUCUUAUUGAUUUGCAAGCAUUCAUGUAUUAACUUAGUUUGAUUGUAAGCGAAAGGUGAAUAAAUCAAGUCCUCUCUGCACAAAGGCUCUUUUAAAUUUAAUAUCCUAAUUGAGGCUUCAGCAGUCUUUUUUUUUUGCUAUACGUCUUUGCUGCUGAGAGGUCUGUUACUAUUGCAAAAAAUGAUCGAAUAAUAAACAAAAAAACUAAAGUCACAGUUAAAAUAUGA